AUAGGACGCUCUAAUACGGACAUGGUGCGAAGAGUCUAUUGAGCUAGUUGGUAGUCCUCCGGCCCCUGAAUGCGGUUAAUCCUAACUGCGGACGACAUACCCCUAAUCCAAGGGGCAGUGUGUCGUAACGGGCAACUCUGCAGCGGAACCGACUACUUUGGGUGUCCGUGUUUCCUUUUAUUUUUAUACUGGCUGCUUAUGGUGACAAUCUCAGAGUUGUUACCAUAUAGCUAUUGGAUUGGCCAUCCGGUG
rfam:Echo Virus 11 genomic DNA